ensembl:lncRNA
GGAAAAAGCCCAGCCCCUUACUCUUCGGUAUCGAGGAAUACAUGUAUUAAGCAAACUACAAUGGUUUUCCCAUGGCAAUCAAUGCCAGCAGCACCAAAGGCCGCCUGAGGGCUUUUCAAAGAAAGAGGUUGUGUCUGAAAACAGGAGUACAAGUAGCAAACUAAGGAAAAGCUACUGCAACAGGUCAUUAUGUGAGUCAUGCGUUGGAUGAGGUCUCCUUUCUUGAAUGAAGAUUGCAGUUUCACAGCAGCUGAACCCAGUCCAAAUCCAGCUGUCCAGCAGACUAUGCUCCUUCCCACCCCAGACUCCAGUUCUGCUGUAGAAGUGGAGUAUGGAAGAAAUCCCUCUAUUUUUGAUGGCUUCAGAAACAGCCUACAGAAAAGAUCUGGCCGAUACUCUGAAGAUGUUCCUGGCGCUAUGGCUCCAGUGCCUAAUGCAUCUGUGCAAGACAGAAUAGUACCAGAAGGUGAAGGGAACAUGUAUUUUCCCUGGAAGGACUCCUGAUGUGGCAAACUGACAGUAUUGUUGUGGCUGGAUUGUGCUGGCCUUUAGUCCUACGCAACUGAAGAGAUCCUUGCCGGGACUGCAGGAACAAAGUGACUGAAAUGAUUGCCAGGUACAGCCGUUUUGCUUUGCAAUAUGAGGAUUUUUCUACAUCUGACCUGAGAAAACAUGUCUGUGGUCCUUCAUAACUUUCUUUGAAACUUUCUGUGAGAGGGAUACUCUGAAGGAAGCAUUCUCCAAACUCUGCUCCAGGUAUCCCUCCAUGGUCAGAAGGCUACAGAAAAGGGUUUUGGCUGAUUGCAAGGGUUGCAUCAGACUUAUGUUCAAUGCAUCCCCCGAGGUAGCAAACAUUGAGGCAGCAAGGGUAUACGGGGGCCUUACAGCUGUCUGCCUGGCCAUGUACUGCUGCCCAAAGAAUCAAAAUUUUGUAGGUUGACAAUGGUCCAUUGACCCAAAAAUUGGGAUAUCACUCUUUUGAAGCUGAUUUUCUGCUGGCUGAAGUUAGUGAACAGACUUUCAUGGACUUCUCAGGGCUUGCCUCAAACCCUUAUUCCUGCAUUCAAAGACAGGAGCAAUGUUACCAUGACGCAGUAGACAAACCUUAUGUUUUGUUUUCUAUCAACUAUUUUGUGUCUGGGACCAAAUUAUAAUGCAGUUAUACAGGACAUUGAUACUGAUGGCCAAUUUGACCAUCAAAUCUUUUUUUUAAAGAAGCCACGUAGUGCUAUUCUCUAAGGUUUUUUUUCCACAGACGUAAGGGGUGCAAGAGUUUAAUUCUAAUAUAUGCUACAAAAGUUCGGGAUUUUUUUACAAAUUUUUAUUUGGUUCUCCAAAGCAUUCCUUUUCUCCCCGUUUUGAGCUAGUUAAUUUUAACUUGAACAUCACAUAGACUUCUGAUCACUUUUGAAGAAAGGUGAACUGGAAGUGGCAAAUGCAGAAAAGGGUAGUGAAAAGAUCAGUGGAAUAGGGAUCGUACUUUACAGUAGGAAAUGGAAGGGAACAAGUUGUUUAAAUAUGCAAAACAAAAGCAGAAAUGGAAUAUAUUUGCUGUCUGGAAGUACAUCAGGCAGGUAAAUACCAGUGAGGAGAAAAGGUGCCACUGAAGCUUUAGAAUACAAAUGACCAGGAAUAAAUUUAAGCGUGAAGUUUGAAAACA